rnacentral:rRNA from 1 species
UACGUAGGGUGCGAGCGUUUAAUCGGAAUUACUGGGCGUAAAGCGUGCGCAGGCGGGCUUUUAAGCCAGACGUGAAAAUCCCCGGGCUUAACCUGGGGAAUGGCGUUUGGGACUGGGAGUCUGGAGUGCGGCAGAGGAGACUGGAAUUCCUGGUGUAGCGGUGGAAUGCGCAGAUAUCAGGAGGAACACCAAUGGCGAAGGCAGAUCUCUGGGCCGUAACUGACGCUGAGGAGCGAAAGCAUGGGGGAGCGAACAGG